CGCUUUGGCAUCAGCAAUCUCAGGCGUGAUGAUAGACGCAUACGGCAACAUCUCCACCUUCGUGGGGUGGGCGGUGGUGGGUGCGGUGGCCUGGCUGCUGCAUCUUGUCUACACGUGCAUGGCUCCACCACCCGCGGUUCAACAACAAACAAGCAGCGCUGGCGUAGUGUGCGAGGGAACUGCUUUAUAGGCUCGCGGCAAAGAGCUGUGCAACUUCCUUACUUAACAUUUCAUGCAUUUAUGAUGGAUUUCCUAAAAGUUCCUAAUCAUUGUGUAAUACGGAUCAAUUUAAAAAUAAAUGAAUAUAAAAUCAUUCAACUUUGUUUUUUAGUAAAUCUUCAGAUUAUUCAA
rnacentral:lncRNA from 1 species